GAAACUCCUGAAUUAGUCCUCCAAAAUACCUGUCAACUAGCUAGUUAUAAGCAGGAUAUAUUGAAAGAUAAGCCUUUCUGUUUCAGACAUCCUGUUGAAGUUCUUUAUAUCCACUAAUUCACAAAAUUGCUAGAAGAAUUCAGUAUGGCAAGAAGUUGGAGGAACUGGAGGUCCACCUAAGAGCAGUGACUGAAGUUCCAGGAGCAUCAUAUUCAUCUCCUGGAUAAAUUGCAGGAUAAGAGACUUUUGGGACCAGUGAGAUGGCUCAGUGGAUAAAGGUGCUUGCUCCCAAACCUGAAAACCUGAUUUAAUCCCUGGGACCUACAUGGAGGAAGGAAGAAAAGAACUGAUUCCUGCAAGCCGUCCUCUGACAUCCACACAUGUCCUGUGGCACACAUGCCCCCUGUUCCUGCCCCCAAUAAAUAAAUAACAUCUAAUUUAAAAAACUGAAA